AAAAAGAGAGAGAAUAAAUGGUCUAAUGUCUCUCGCUCGUCUCAGCUCUGUGGAGUCUGCACACCCUUACAUAUAUAUAAAACACACAUAAACGUUUUCUCUGUCACUUUUUCGAUUAAAUAAAAGAAAAAAAAGGUUUUUAUGUGGAUUGAUAAUAGAAGAAACAUAUGAAACAAUCGUCAUAAUAAGAAGCAGAGAUUCACCUUCUCCUCCUUCUUUCUUUAUCUUUCCCUCUCAGACACACAGGAGAUUCGAACACAACAACAACAACAACAAAAAAGUCAAACAAAACGAUGGCGUUUCAUCAGAAUCAUCUCUCUCAAGACCUCUCUUUCAAUCACUUCACCGACCAACACCAACCUCCUCCGCCUCCUCCACCUCCGCAACAACAACAACAUUUCCAGGACUCUGCGCCUCCCAACUGGCUCAACACGGCUCUCCUCCGCUCAGACAACAACUUCCUCAACCUCCACACGACCGCCGCCAACGCCACCGCCGCGAGCAGCUCCGAUUCUCCUUUAGAGGACCAGAGAUUAUAUAGUAAACCGUAUGAAUUGAGGGAACGAAUUAGAUAUUUUUAAAGUGUUCAAAGAGAUGAUACAAUUAACUUGAGUCUUGAUUGAUACAAUAAAGCUGAUUAAAUAGAAGAGGUUGUGAUAUUGGGACAUGGACUCACACUACGUACUUUUGUUUCUUUUAGAAGUACCGUAUUUUACAGUUCCGUUUGUGCAUCCGGCAGCUCAAUUCGAGCGUCAAAGACACGCGCUUGUGGAUACAGAUACGUUGCGUCUGAGAACACAACACGUAGCAACUCCUUUUUAAAAAGAAAAUACAUUUAUUAUUUCUCAACGACCUUGCUUCGCCGUCCGAUCUUAAUGAAUCCAAUCGUCACUCACAAUGAACGACUCAGAUGAGUCCAUGACGACCUACUUCUUUAAUUACAUUUUUGUCGUGACCUAAUCUUUCUAUUUUAUUCAUUAAUCACCCUUUUUAAAAAAAAAAAGUCUAUAUGUGGACCACAGUGAUUGGAGAUUGAGAAACCAAUUUUUUUCUUCCUUGGCAAAAAUAAAACAUUUUUGUCAAGCACUUCCAAAACUUUUUUUAAAAAUAGUUUUUGAUAAUUACUCUGGUAAAAAAAAGAGAGAGAAUAAAUGGUCUAAUGUCUCUCGCUCGUCUCAGCUCUGUGGAGUCUGCACACCCUUACAUAUAUAUAAAACACACAUAAACGUUUUCUCUGUCACUUUUUCGAUUAAAUAAAAGAAAAAAAAGGUUUUUAUGUGGAUUGAUAAUAGAAGAAACAUAUGAAACAAUCGUCAUAAUAAGAAGCAGAGAUUCACCUUCUCCUCCUUCUUUCUUUAUCUUUCCCUCUCAGACACACAGGAGAUUCGAACACAACAACAACAACAACAAAAAAGUCAAACAAAACGAUGGCGUUUCAUCAGAAUCAUCUCUCUCAAGACCUCUCUUUCAAUCACUUCACCGACCAACACCAACCUCCUCCGCCUCCUCCACCUCCUCAACAACAACAACAUUUCCAGGACGCCGCGCCUCCCAACUGGCUCAACACGGCUCUCCUCCGUUCCGACAACAACUUCCUCAACCUCCACACGACCACCGCCAACGCCACCGCCGCGAGCAGCUCUGACUCUCCUUCCUCCGCCGCCGUCGCCGCUAACCAGUGGCUGUCCCGCUCCUCCUCCUUCCUCCAACGCACCGCAAACAACAACAACAACAACAACGCCGCAGCCUCCGUCGUCGGAGACGUCAUCGACGACGUAACCGGAGGAGGAGCCGAGCAGAUGAUGAGCGGCGGCGAGAACAAGAACGACGGUGGAGGAGGAGAAGGAGUCGUGAGCUGGCAGAAUGCGAG
rnacentral:lncRNA from 1 species